rnacentral:rRNA from 1 species
GUGGACGCCAGUCUGCAUGGAGCCGACCUUGAAAUACCACCCUUUAAUGUUUGAUGUUCUAACGUGGACCCGUUACCCGGGUUGCGGACAGUGUCUGGUGGGUAGUUUGACUGGGGCGGUCUCCUCCUAAAGAGUAACGGAGGAGCACGAAGGUUGGCUAAUCCUGGUCGGACAUCAGGAGGUUAGUGCAAUGGCAUAAGCCAGCUUGACUGCGAGCGUGACGGCGCGAGCAGGUGCGAAAGCAGGUCAUAGUGAUCCGGUGGUUCUGAAUGGAAGGGCCAUCGCUCAACGGAUAAAAGGUACUCCGGGGAUAACAGGCUGAUACCGCCCAAGAGUUCAUAUCGACGGCGGUGUUUGGCACCUCGAUGUCGGCUCAUCACAUCCUGGGGCUGAAGUAGGUCCCAAGGGUAUGGCUGUUCGCCAUUUAAAGUGGUACGCGAGCUGGGUUUAGAACGUCGUGAGACAGUUCGGUCCCUAUCUGCCGUGGGCGCUGGAGAACUGAGGGGGGCUGCUCCUAGUACGAGAGGACCGGAGUGGACGCAUCACUGGUGUUCGGGUUGUCAUGCCAAUGGCACUGCCCGGUAGCUAAAUGCGGAAGAGAUAAGUGCUGAAAGCAUCUAAGCACGAAACUUGCCCCGAGAUGAGUUCUCCCUGAGACUUUAGGUCUCCUGAAGGAACGUUGAAGACGACGACGUUGAUAGGCCGGGUGUGUAAGCGCAGCGAUGCGUUGAGCUAACCGGUACUAAUGAACCGUGAGGCUUAACCUUACAACGCCGAAG